UUUCCGUAGGUGAACCUGCGGAAGGAUCAUUACAGUAGUCGCCCGGGUUGCCGCAAGGCCUCCCGGGUAACCUACCACCCUUUGUUUAUUACACUUUGUUGCUUUGGCAGGCCUGCCCUCGGGCUGCUGGCUCCGGCCGGCGAGCGCUUGCCAGAGGACCUAAACUCUGUUUGUCUAUACUGUCCGAGUACUAUAUAAUAGUUAAAACUUUCAACAACGGAUCUCUUGGUUCUG
rnacentral:misc_RNA from 1 species